GAGCUCAGUGGCAGAGCAUCUGCCUCGCAUGCAGAAGGUCCGAGGUUUAAUCCUCAUCA
rnacentral:tRNA from 1 species